UCCUGUCCUGGGCGUACGUCAAGAUGGCGGCGUCUGUAUUAAACACCGUGCUGAGGCGGCUUCCUAUGCUAUCUCUCUUCCGAGGUUCUCACAGAGUUCAGGUUCCCCUCCAGACUCUUUGCACCAAAGCUCCCUCUGAGGAAGAUUCUUUGUCCUCAGUUCCCAUUUCUCCUUAUAAGGAUGAGCCCUGGAAAUAUCUGGAAUCAGAAGAAUACCAGGAGCGAUAUGGUUCUCGCCCCGUCUGGGCUGACUACCGCCGCAACCACAAGGGUGGUGUACCCCCACAGCGGACUCGGAAGACAUGUAUUCGUCGGAAUAAAGUUGUUGGGAAUCCCUGCCCCAUCUGUCGAGAUCACAAGUUGCAUGUUGACUUUAGGGUAAGGAGAGUCUUUUCUUUUUAGGGUAAGAAAAAUAAAGAUUAGGGGCUGGGCGCGGUGGCUCACGCCUGUAAUCCCAGCACUUUGGGAGGCCGAGGCAGGUGGAUCACGAGGUCAGGAGAUCAAGACCAUCCU
rnacentral:sRNA from 1 species